rnacentral:miRNA from 1 species
UAGGUCACCAGUUUGACUCUCU